rnacentral:lncRNA from 1 species
GUGGUACUGUUAAACGCAGUCGGCAAACAUUCAUCUUCCGCCGGGCGCGGCCGCCGUCGCCGGCCGUCCUCCUGGGGGUGGUGGCGGUGACCGUGAGCCCCGAGCUGUAGCGCAGCAUCCCCGCGGGCCGCCGCGCUGGCGCUGACUGCGGCUCCCUCUGGCCGGCGGCGCCGCUCCGCCCCCGCGCACACACCGCGGGCGGCCGCAGGGGCCGGGCUGCGCAGCGGCUGCCCCGGCGGGGCGGGCCGGCGAGGGGGGAGCCCGACGACCGUGCCGCGAAGGCGACCGAGAGCCUGGCGACGGAUGCAGCCGGACAAAGACACUGGGGGCGCGCGGCUCCCGAGGAAUUUGCCCUUGGGACGCCGCGGUCCCCGCGCUGCCGGGAUUUCGGUGCGGAUUGGGAACGGGGCUCGGAGAAGAGAGCCGAGCGGCUACGCGUGGCACCCAGCCACAUUCUGGGCUUGGAAAAAAGGAGCUGGGGCUCAGAGGAGGCCUCUCUGGUACACACUUCUGAGUGCUCUAACGGGAUAGAGAUGGGCACCGUCCUCCGCUCCUGCUGCAGUUCCUGAGCCACUCAGGCCUGUCAGCUUGUUAGCCGUGCUCCAGGAACACUCAGCAGGCUGGGCAGAAACACCCUGACUCAGGCAGCCUUAGGUGCGAGGCACCAGGCCGGGGCAACUCAGUAUGCAGGUGGUGGCACAAGCCUUGGUGCUGAAGGUCCAGCAAGGAGAUGAGGCUGGUGCUGGAGAUAGCUGGCACUGAGCACACAUUCUUAGACUGCAGGUUUGGACUUCAACAUUUCCUUCAGCAGAUGCUUGUCUCUUCCGGGAUGUGGCUGAAAGGAACGCUGUAACCCUACACCGCUGUGCAGGCCUAGAUGGACACACACUACAUUCAUCUGCAGCUCUGUGCAUCCCUCAAAAGCAAGCAGCACAUUCCUUGGUAAACCAGAGGAACUAAAACCAAAAGAAAUGCUUAAGCACAAAACAAACUGCGGAAGAAAUAUGUAUCCUUUGUCUCCAUGUAAAUACCUUGAAAUAAUUAAGACCACGAGAGAACACAGUUAUAGCUACAUGAUGUCCUUGCCCAUUACGAUGUUAACGAGCAUACUGCUGUGGCUAGGAGCUGUUUCCUGGAUUGGAGAAUGUUGAAGAAGAGGAAGUAAUUUGCUAUCUACCAAGGGACUGGUGCCUCACCCUCUGUGUAAAGUGUCUCUUCUCUUCCGCUUCUCAGUUCUCUGUCCCUAGAGCAGGAUACUGAGCCAUCAGGGCAAGAUGCUGAGCUAUCAACAUGACAUAGAUCUGAGGAAGAGAGGAAGAAAACGUUGCCCAGGCCUGCAGGAGAGAAAGAAGGGUUGGUCUGCAUUACUGUUUGGUCUUUUCUGUUUUCCCAGCUUCUGUUCUCUUCUCCACUUGAGGAAGGUAUAUAGCCCAAGGCAAAUGAGACAGAGCAACCACUUGUAUUUGGACUUCUCUCAAGAUUGACUGUAUGUUAUGCCUGCUGUUCUGUGCAAAGAUGUCCUGAGCCCACAGUCAAAUUUCCGUAUGAAUCAUCCAUCAUCUUAACUCAUGGCAGUAAUCCUGCUUUCAGAGGGGAUUUCCUGGUGCAGAAUAUGUUUAUACUCAACAACAGGGAUAUGCUCCCUCAUAUGUCACUUAACUGUUGAGCUGUGCCUUAGCAGUGAUCAUUACUUGUUCCUGUUCCUUCUGGCGAGCAGCAAUGUCUCAACUUAGAUGCUAGUAUACAGCCUUCGUGUGGUUUCAGUUGGCAAGAUCACAUACCUGUGAGAUUCUCGUGGUUAGCGAGAAGCUGUGCCUUCAGGACUUUUCUCUUCUCUGGGGAAAGGUAUGCACAAAGGGCUGUAGUCACUGCAAGGCACAGACAGAAGAACUGCUUUUCCAAUAGCAGGUACAGAAACCAAACUUGUGCCACACUCUGGUAAAGGACCUCUUUUCCAUGGCCCACAGUAUGACAAAGUCAGGUACAAUAAUUGGGUCUCUGUGAGAAUUUGCAUGGUCUGCACUGACUUUGAGAAUUAUAAUAAAUUUAAUGGAAAUCUUUUUUGUGUGUAGAUAGACAAAACAUCUGUCCAUAAGUAAUACAAACAUAACUACUACAAAUGCAAUUUUAUCAGUUUUGUCUAUAUUACGAAGAGCCCUCCUCAUUUCUUAGAAUAUAAUGGCAAGACGUGCCUAUCUGAUACAGCAAUCUCAACAGAAACAUCUACUUCUGGGCACUUUCUCUAAUUAAAAUUGUUCUAGAAGGAAUAACCUGUAAGCACACUUAGUAGUCUGUUUUUUGUGGUGGUGGUGGUGUUGUUUUUUGUCUACUCUAUAUACCAUCUCCUUUCCUUUCCCCUAGUCAGCAAACUGCAGAGUUCAAUUUGCUUUCCACUCUGCUAGUUGGCUGUGAAUCCCGUGUACACACUUAAAGUUUCUUCAACGAUUCUGCAGGCUGUGAGGUUCAGUGUGCAUAGUAAACAUCUGAAAAUGCCUCAUAACCUCUAAGCUCUGCCAAGGCUGAAAAUGUGUAAAAGAAAGACUCAAAACAAAACAAAAAACAUGAAACCCCAGAACCAACCAACCAACAAACCGACCAAACAACAACAAAAAAACAUCAAACCAACCAAACAACAAAUAAAACCCUCUCUUUGAAUGAAAGCAACAUUUGGGAUAAUAACUUUUUCUCCCUCCCCACAACUCUGACACAUUACAGAGAUUAUGGAUGGAGCUGCUGGUAUUGAAGGAACACCUGGUAACCCCAGCUAUAAAGUAAGAUGCUCAAAAAAAGAUGUUACAGAAAUAUGAGACAUACAUAGAUGGGCUGCAAGAAAGCUCAAAGUUGCUGAAUUAUUUCUGGAUGAAGACAGAGACAAAAACAGGGGUAUGAAGAGGGCAAUAGAGGCACAGAAGUUUGUGACUGGUAUGUGAGGGGGGAAUAGCUAUUCACUACUUCCUACCCUUGGGAACAAUGGAUUUGAAAUGAACCAGGCACCACAUCUACGUGUAAAAUUAAAUUAUGGCAGAGAAUACUGUGAUUAUGAAAGGUAUAUAUGCUCUCAAAAAGCAGCUGAAUAAACUCAUAAAAGGAGCUACAAAACCUGUAAAUCACAAAGGUAUGCACAGAACUACUGACUCAGGAGGUCCUUAAGUUGUGGGCUUGCUUUCUCUCUCACUCUCAAUGGAGAUUUAAGCCAAGAAAUAACAAUCCAUAGAUGAUCCAUUUCCUCUUUCAUUCCCUGAGAGAUGAGGGAUAAAUAUCUGCUUGGUUUUAGCUUGGACCUAUGACCCUACCUGUCUGGCUCUGAUACCAUCUGAACUAGAUUUGUUGGGAUUUACAGCUCUUAUUCCCUGAAGGAGCAUAGCAUUCUUCUACAAACAUCUCUUGCUAUCUUUGUGUUGGACAUGGCACUAACAAACAGACACAGGAUGAGAGAAUGGAAAGUAAAUCACACUUGAUUAAUUGGACUAAAACAAUACUGAUCUUUACAGUUGUACAGACAGCACAAAAUGUAUAUACAGUCAUAUAGAUUGCUCACAGACUAUACAGAAUGCGGUGGCAGAUAAUAAUCUGACCAAGAUGAUGCUUUUAGUUCAAAACCUGCCAGUGCUUUUUGAAUGUAAAGAUACAAAGGAACAGCAGGUUAAUUAUAAGAUGACACUACAAUGUGAAUAUCUGGGGCAAUAGUUGUGAAACAGCUAAUAAGAUUACACAAAAUCUGCAGCAAAUUUGAAGUGCUGGAAAUGUUUGUACCUCCCUACCCUCUCCCCCCCCCGGCCCCCAACUAUCCUUUUUACCACCACCAGCAUCACAGGUCCAGGAAGACCAAAGACCAUUAUGCUGUGGAAGAAAUGAAACAAUGUCACAGAAACAUCAGGCCUUUAUAUUAAAAGCCUGUGGUCACAAGAUGAAUAACAGAACAUACGAUACAUGGAAUGGAAAAUACGUCUUCUCUCACAAAACAGCAAAUCACAAAGGCAGGAAUGGGCAGCCUGGCCUUACCUUAACAAAUUUCCUCAUUACGGUUGUGUUAAAAGGCUGAUUCUCUUCUCCAUCAUCAAACUAAGAGCUGACAGAGUCCAGAGGAAGAGGUAAAGUCCUAGUAACACUUCAUCAGCUGGAAUACUAGCCCUGUGAGAUUUGGGAAUAAUUGCUGAGUUACAGAUUGUGCAAGAACUCACACAAGUGGUCAUUAAGGUUAUAAAAUCCCAGUUGGAUUGUUACAAAAAUGGAGUGUUAUAAUUAACUUCUAAUAGCCUUCACUUUCCAGUGGGAUUAAAAUCCACUCUGUCUUUAUCAUCCCCAAGGCAUGAAGCCCAUUUAUAGCAAAGACUGUCAAAUGGACAGACGCAUGUGAAAUACUUCAGAACAAGACUUGGUAAGACCUGUGGGCUUGAUCACCUAUUUUUCUUCAAAAUUGUUUAUUUUUCCUGUUAACACUCACAUGUGUAUUCCACAGACAUGCAUUUAGCUCAGCAUCGUGUAACUAACUCCCAAACAAUCUUUUUUGGGCAUCACAGCUAGCAUGAAAAUGUUGUCCUGUUAACAAUCAUAAAACAGCUUGUUAGGGGAUGAGCAUCUGAAAUUGAGUCUCCAAAUUCAGCAGCCAUGGGUCACCUUACAUGCAGAAUACAAACCAACACAUAACAUUGUACAGUUCUUAUCUUGAGCAAUAUUUUCCUCUUGCACUGGCAAAUACACCCUUAGCUACAUUUGGAGCUAGUCUGGUUUACAGCUGGCCUUUUGAAGGGACAUGACGCACACAACUAUCUGAAUAUCCAGCUUGGUUUAGCUACAAGCAUCAAAUCACUUCUCAAACCUAUUGACAUAACUGUUUUCUGUCACUUAACACUCCCAGUAUAUGGCUAAUGUAGGAUAACUACAGAAACUCAGAGCCUCCCCUGCUGAUCUCACAUAGACAAUCUAUAUUUAGGAAUGCCCAUAUCAGAAGUUUAAAAUGCAGAAUAAAUACUUUGUUUUGCAAAGCUUUCAAUACUCACUUUACGUGAUUAU